GCACUGUUGAGGUGUCCCACAAUAGGACGAAACGGCCGUCCAGUUC
rnacentral:hammerhead_ribozyme from 1 species